UCAAUCUUCCUCUCAUCAUCAUCAAUUCAUCACCACCUUCUUCCAAUCUCUCUACACUCGCACCACAACCAGAUCUGUCAACCAUUUCACCAUUCUUCACCGCCAUUGUUAUCCUCUAAUCGACCAUGGCCAACGUGAUCAUGGCCUCCUCCAAAACCCUAAUCACAUCUCCCCCAACCCCUAAAUCCAAACACCAACCACUACCACAACCUCCCGUCUCCCUUCCCCUCAUCUCCACCACCACCAAACCCCUAAUCUCCCUCUCCCUCACUCCCAAAUCCCUCGCCGCCGCAGCCCUCGUAGCCGCCUCCGUCGCCGCGACUCCCUUCCCCUCCUUAGCAGUCGAGAUCGAAAAGGCCCAACUUUUCGACUUCGAUCUUACGCUUCCGAUCAUUGCCGCGGAGUUUCUUUUCCUCAUGUUCGCUCUCGACAAAGUAUACUACUCCCCCUUGGGGAAUUUUAUGGACGGCAGAGAUAAGGAAAUUAAAGAGAAGCUGAGCAGUGUGAAGGAUACUUCGAGUGAAGUGAAGCAAUUGGAGGAGCAGGCGGCGGCGAUUAUGAGGGCAGCGAGGGCGGAGAUAUCGGCGGCGUUGAACAAGAUGAAGAAGGAGACGGCGUUGGAGGUGGAUGCGAAGCUGGCGGAGGGGAGGAAGAAGGUGGAGGCGGAGUUGCAGGAGGCGUUGGCAAGUUUGGAGAAGCAAAAGGAAGAUACGAUCAAGUCGCUUGAUUCUCAGAUUGCGGCUCUUAGUCAGGAAAUUGUCAACAAGGUC
rnacentral:lncRNA from 1 species